GCGGGGGUGCCCGAGUGGUCAAAGGGGCUAGGCUUAGGACCUAGUGGCAUAGGCCUGCGCGGGUUCAAACCCCGUCCCCCGCA
rnacentral:tRNA from 1 species